rnacentral:rRNA from 1 species
GACGAACGCUGGCGGCGUGCUUAACACAUGCAAGUCGAACGGAAAGGCCCUGCUUUUGUGGGGUGCUUGAGUGGCGAACGGGUGAGUAACACGUGUGUAACCUGCCCUUGACUUUGGGAUAACUUCAGGAAACUGGGGCUAAUACCGGAUAGGAGCUCCUGCUGCAUGGUGGGGGUUGGAAAGUUUCGGCGGUUGGGGAUGGACUCGCGGCUUAUCAGCUUGUUGGUGGGGUAGUGGCUUACCAAGGCUUUGACGGGUAGCCGGCCUGAGAGGGUGACCGGCCACAUGGGGACUGAGAUACGGAGCAGACUCCUACGGGAGGCAGCAGUGGGGAGUAUUGCACAAUGGGCGGAAGCCUGAUGCAGCAACGCCGCGUGCGGGAUGACGGCCUUCGGGUUGUAAACCGCUUUCGCCUGUGACGAAGCGUGAGUGACGGUAAUGGGUAAAGAAGCACCGGCUAACUACGUG